UGCAUCGGCCGGGAAUCAAACCCGGCGAGGGCGGCGGGCGAGCAUUCUACCACUGAACCACCGAUGC